GACGAACGCUGGCGGCGUGCUUAACACAUGCAAGUCGAACGGAAAGGCCCUGCUUUUGUGGGGUGCUCGAGUGGCGAACGGGUGAGUAACACGUGAGUAACCUGCCCUUGACUUUGGGAUAACUUCAGGAAACUGGGGCUAAUACCGGAUAGGAGCUCCUGCUGCAUGGUGGGGGUUGGAAAGUUUCGGCGGUUGGGGAUGGACUCGCGGCUUAUCAGCUUGUUGGUGGGGUAGUGGCUUACCAAGGCUUUGACGGGUAGCCGGCCUGAGAGGGUGACCGGCCACAUUGGGACUGAGAUACGGCCCAGACUCCUACGGGAGGCAGCAGUGGGGAAUAUUGCACAAUGGGCGGAAGCCUGAUGCAGCAACGCCGCGUGCGGGAUGACGGCCUUCGGGUUGUAAACCGCUUUCGCCUGUGACGAAGCGUGAGUGACGGUAAUGGGUAAAGAAGCACCGGCUAACUACGUGCCAGCAGCCGCGGUGAUACGUAGGGUGCGAGCGUUGUCCGGAUUUAUUGGGCGUAAAGGGCUCGUAGGUGGUUGAUCGCGUCGGAAGUGUAAUCUUGGGGCAUAACCCUGAGCGUGCUUUCGAUACGGGUUGACUUGAGGAAGGUAGGGGAGAAUGGAAUUCCUGGUGGAGCGGUGGAAUGCGCAGAUAUCAGGGGGAACACCAGUGGCGAAGGCGGUUCUCUGGGCCUUUCCUGACGCUGAGGAGCGAAAGCGUGGGGAGCGAACAGGCUUAGAUACCCUGGUAGUCCACGCUGUAAACGGUGGGUACUAGGUGUGGGGUCCAUUCCACGGGUUCCGUGCCGUAGCUAACGCUUUAAGUACCCCGCCUGGGGAGUACGGCCGCAAGGCUAAAACUCAAAGGAAUUGACGGGGCCCCGCACAAGCGGCGGAGCAUGCGGAUUAAUUCGAUGCAACGCGUAGAACCUUACCUGGGUUUGACAUGGAUCGGGAGUGCUCAGAGAUGGGUGUGCCUCUUUUGGGGUCGGUUCACAGGUGGUGCAUGGCUGUCGUCAGCUCGUGUCGUGAGAUGUUGGGUUAAGUCCCGCAACGAGCGCAACCCUUGUUCACUGUUGCCAGCACGUUAUGGUGGGGACUCAGUGGAGACCGCCGGGGUCAACUCGGAGGAAGGUGGGGAUGACGUCAAGUCAUCAUGCCCCUUAUGUCCAGGGCUUCACGCAUGCUACAAUGGCUGGUACAGAGAGUGGCGAGCCUGUGAGGGUGAGCGAAUCUCGGAAAGCCGGUCUCAGUUCGGAUUGGGGUCUGCAACUCGACCUCAUGAAGUCGGAGUCGCUAGUAAUCGCAGAUCAGCAACGCUGCGGUGAAUACGUUCCCGGGGCU
rnacentral:rRNA from 1 species